AGCUCCUCUGGGUCCCAUUCUGGCAGAAAACGUCUCGCUGCUGAACGCCUCUCCCACAGGACACCGAGCACUGCACCAGGAGAAAAGCUCUGCCAAUGAGGUAAGAAAUGUCUUCACCCAGAUGAAGAGUCUUCAACACUUAAUAUAUGGCGUGCUCAAGACAAUGUCUUCAGUCAAGAAAGCUGUUUAAGCACAGAGAAAAAUCCCUUUCUCCUAAAACAGCUGCAUGUUGGGCAAAACACAUGGUGUUGGAACUUUGCAAGGAAUUUUCUUGUAAAGCUAAAACAUUUUACUGAGAAGAAAAAAACUUCAUGAGAAAACCUUCACAAUAUAUUUUAAAAUCUUAAUUUCAUGACAAAGCUUGUCUGAACUGCCUUUAAAUUUAACAUUUAUGCCACUCUGAAAGGAAACUAAACAUUUAAGAUAAACAGCAGAAUCAGCAAAUCUAUACAGCAGACAACAACACGGCGCUGGAAUCCUCCUGCGCAAGUACUUGAACACUGUUGUAAGAAAUGGCAUUGGGUGAGACUGCGGUGGCUCGAUAAAAUCCAACAAGAAAUAAUCCACUUAUGAGAGGAAGGACUGUAGGAUUCCCCCUUUGCAUGAGAAGGAGCCAUAUGCUCAGAGGUCUACGGGAGUAAAAAUGUUGACCACAGAGAAACAAACCAUAUUCUUCAGGCCAGUGUACAUCUGAGAUUCUGUUACUCACAAAUGAAUACCACGGCAUUUGUCAAGGGUCCUGUUCUCCACUGGUGAGAUCCGUGGAUAUGCAUUCGACCAGCAUUGCGAAUAGAAUUCCCUGGUGAUGAAGCCUUAAUGCGG